rnacentral:tRNA from 1 species
GGGGUUGUGGCUCAGGGGUAGAGCACUCGCCUAGCAUGUGUGAGGCCCUGGGUUUGAUCCUCAGCACCA